AGGAUAAUAGUUUAAUAAAAACAUUUGAUUUGCAUUCAAAAAAUAUUAUAAUUUUAAUUUAUCUUA
rnacentral:tRNA from 1 species